CAGCGCCCUGGAGAGUACCUGACGCUCAGAUGCGAAAGCUAGGGGAGCGAACGGGAUUAGAUACCCCGGUAGUCCUAGCCGUAAACGAUGACCACUAGAUGUCCGGAGUAUCGACCCUUCGGGUAUCGGAGCUAACGCGUUAAGUGGUCCGCCUGGGGAGUACGGUCGCAAGAUUAAAACUCAAAGGAAUUGACGGGGACCCGCACAAGCAGCGGAGCGUGUGGUUUAAUUCGAUGCAACGCGAAGAACCUUACCAGGUCUUGACAUCACACUGACAGCUCUAGAGAUAGGGUCUUCCUUCGGGACAGUGUGACAGGUGCUGCAUGGCUGUCGUCAGCUCGUGUCGUGAGAUGUUGGGUUAAGUCCCGCAACGAGCGCAACCCUCGUCGCUAGUUGAAUGUUCUAGCGAGACCGCCGUUACAAAGCGGAGGAAGGUGGGGAUGACGUCAAGUCAGCACGGCCCUUACGACCUGGGCGACACACACGCUACAAUGGCCGGGACAAAGGGCAGCCAACCCGCGAGGGGGAGCCAAUCCCAUCAAACCCGGUCUCAGUUCAGAUUGCAGGCUGCAACCCGCCUGCAUGAAGUCGGAGUUGCUAGUAACCGUAGGUCAGCACACUACGGUGAAUACGUUCCCGGGUCUUGUACACACCGCCCGUCACACCACGAAAGUCGGCAACACCUGAAGCCGCUGG
rnacentral:rRNA from 1 species